UGUUCAGGAUUUGGUUCUCCCCUUCCACCAUGUGGGUCCUGGGAACUGAACUCAGGUGGUCAGGCUUAGCAGCAGGUAGGUGUCUUUCCUCUCUUGGCCAUCUUGUUAGUCUCUGUGUCUAAUGUUUGUAUAUUUAUGUCUUGGUUAUGACUCUCUGCGGAGAAAAUGUCUUAUUGAGGAAUUAUGCCUAUCUCAUGAGACUGAAUGAGUCAAAGGCAGAACGUCUGCUUUCCAGCUUACAGACAUAAAGCCAGUGCAGUGUCACAGCUCUAUCCUUGACCAGACAGACACGGAAGUCUGAAUGAUCAGGCACCAUGUGCAUUCUCAUCCCCUCUGCUACAUGACUGGAAACAUUUGUAGCUACGUGGACUGCCCCAGCUUUGCUUGUUAUGGACAGGAAGAGUGGCUGCCAUCUUCAUUGUCCGUAGGCAAGAGGUGAGCUCCCUGAAAUGUUGGUGCUCCUGCCUGUACCUUUACAAACUGUUCAAAACAAAUGGAUUGCAGCUGUUGCGUUAUUAAAAUCAAAACUGUGCAAAUGAAGAAACCCCUCAUAUGGGACCUUGCAAAUAAACACAGGAAAGGCAGAGGACUGUCUAUAGGGAAGAGUGUUUGUUGGCGUUUACUACAGGAUAAAAUCAACUGGUGAUCCUUGGGUGUGUGUUUCUUAUGUGUGACCCAAAGGAAUAAAAAGAAAUGUAUUGGCAGCUGGAGAUAUGGCUCAGCACUUAAGAACUACUCUUGCAGAGGACCCAGAUUUAGUUCUCAGCACUGACAUGGCAUCCAUAACCAUCUACAGUCUUAGUUUCAGGGGAUCUAAUGCCCUCUGAUGGCCUCCUCAGGUCCUGCAUGCAUGUGAUGCCUUUAUUUAUGUGCAGGUGAAUAUACAUGCAUAAACAUACCAUUGAAAAAUAAAAUAGCCAGUCAAUAAAUGAACACUAUUAGUUUAUUUUGUUCCAGGAAGGAUACAUUGACAAAGGGCAGCUUCAUGGAGAGUCAGUGUGAUUGUUUCAAGAAACAACAUAAGCUUCGCACCAUAGCUGCUCUCUAGAUAGUCCUCAUCUCAGAACUGUCUCUAAGACUACGCCUGCAUUCCCCUAUCCAACAUCACACCAACAUUGAAUGAAUUCAUUUCCAGGGAGACCUUAUUUAUCACAAUGGAAAACGGCUCAUCUACCCAAGGUCACCGCUCAAAUUGAAACCUGAAACACAUCUAUAAGUGAGUCGCUGUCUCAGAGCCAAGUCUUCUGACAAGGCCAGGGCGACCUGCCCAGAGGUGGAACUGCACAUGGAUCAAGUAAAUGUCUCACAGACUUGCCCAGAGCCCAGUCUGACAGGAGAAGGAGCCAUUUAUGUGCGUUUGAAGUCCAGGAGGAAAAGGGUCAGAAACACAGGCAAGCAUGCAAGCUGGUGUGCACCGCUCUCUGUGUCUGUUUAUUAUGGCCGUCAGGCCUCCCAGGGAAACCAACACACAGUUGGCUGGAGAAGCCACAGCUGAAUACACUCAGGCGAGGAUUCCUGGGAGCCAUCAUUUCCACUGUAGGUUGAAAGUCAGAUAUUUUGUGUGGCUCUCAGCUCCUAGUUGCUUCUUGCUUUUUGAAAAAGAGGAAGUCAACAAAAUGAGCAAGUUAUUUCCAAGUGGAGUGCCUUCCUCCAGCUCAGAGGUCUAUGGAAAUUACAAAGUCCAGGGAAAGGAGCCUUGUUCAGAAGUUCCAAAUGUUCUUGGAGUGGUUUUUACCAGUCCUGAAAGAGCCCCACGUGACUCACGGAGCAGGACUGGAAUAGCCCCACGUGACCCAUAGAGCUAUCACCAAGUUACCUUAUUUGAGACUUUUAAUCCAAGCAGUUUAUAAACACAGGAUGCUUUCCAAAAGUGUUCCUCCCUUUCUCUCCCAUUUAUGGAAACAAAAGCAAAUGUUUUACAAGGGCAGAGACACUGAACUCUUCUUCUUUUGCUGGAUGCCUGAGGAGCCCUGGGAAAGUAUGGAGUAGGUAGAGAGGGAGGAAGAAACUGGACCCUGGCCAAGCUGGCCCUGCUGCUUAAUGGUGCCCCAGAUGUCUGAAGCAGCCUCAACAGAUGGGCCAGCGCUCUUUGUUUGAAUUUGAAAUUAUAAGUAGAAACAUAAGGCAGAUGUUUGCCUCCCUCAAAGGGAAGAAUAUUAAGAAGGAAGGCAUUUAGAGAAUAAGGAAGCCAAAGCCAUUGUCCUAACUUGCAUUGAAGUUUCUCAUUCAAAUCCCCAUUAGGAAACUGCCCCUCUCUAGUCAGAAGUUAGGGCCAUCGCUACCUUCUUUUGAUGGUUAAUGUAAGCUACCAACGUGGUUCGAUUAGUCAUCUAAGAGGCAUUCCUCUGGGCAUGACUAUAAGAGCAUUACUAGAGAUUUUUAACUGAAUACAAACCUACCAUGAUUGGGGGGCUCGGGACUAUCCAGAGUCUGGGGCUCUAAAUGGAAGUAGGCAAGAAAAUGAGCUGAGUACGAGCAUUCAUUUCUUCCUGCUUCCUGACUGCGGAUGCGCUGUGACCAGCUGCUUCAAGUCAAUGACCACAGCGCUCUCUCUACCCCAGACAGCCUUCCAUGUCAAAAUAAACUCCUUUUCCUUAGGGUGUUUUCAUCAUAGUGAUGGGAAAAAGAAAGAUAACCAAUACAUUGACCUUGUUUGUGGGUGACAGAGGAGACCCUCUGCCAAUUCGAUCUUGGGUUGACACCCUGGAGAGAUUUUCUAAAAGGAUAGUGUGCCCUCCUUUGGCUAACAACACACUGUAGAAACAGUAGGAAUUGAACCUUGGUGGUCAGGCCUGGUGGAAAGGACCCUUUACCCACCGAGUCAUUUUGCUGGCCCAGGGUGUGGAUUUCAGAGGUUAAUAAAUAAGAUCAAGACAGAGUGGCAUCGUUGUGGGUUAGCAAUGAGGCCUCUCUUAAAAAGAACUCCUGGAGGUCUUGCAUGGGCCCCUCUCUUCCCAACAGGCAGACUACUCUGAUUGCUAAAUGAAUUCUUCAGGGUCUAACAUGACAAAAUCUUUAUUGUUUUAAUGAGCGAGUCUUGGGUCUUUUGAUUCCAAUAGCGUCUGCAGAUGUAGGCUGUGGGAGUUUAUGUACUGCCUCAGGAGUGGUACUGUACCAAGCUCUGGCCUGCAGCUUGAUUCUGCUUGAGGGUACAGAUUCCUGUGAUCUUCCUCCAUUCACUUCAGAGAAAAGGCGAGCUGUAAAGCUGUUUUCAGAAAGACUACAGGAUGCUGGGACCACAGACCUAGUACGGUAUCUCUCAAGAUGACAGGAUCCCUAAGAGGUGGGAAUGACUAUGUCAAAGUUGGCUGUGCUUUAUACCUGGUGCACAGGUUUGUUCUCCAACACCAUACACGAUACAUCCUUCCUCUUUAUGGUAGUGCUGCCUCUGGACCCCACUUGACACUUCUUGGUGGUCCACUGAGGUUGAACUUGCUUUGAGACACAUUCUUCUUCUCCCUCCUGAUGUUCAGACUUGACUGGACCAUCAAAAGGCAGUUGCUUUACCCGUUCAUCCUUUCUCCAGACCAUCUUAUGAGAUCUGGCACUUUUCCUCUUGCUUGGCUAAAUGAUGACUGGACAAGGACAUCACAUCCAGUUCAGCAGAGUACAGGACUUUCCACUUGUUCCAGAAAAGAGGUGGGGAAAUAAUCCUACUCUCUUUGUUCUAGGUAAUUUUUAUCUCAAAAAAUUGUGUGUGUGUGUGUGUGUGUGUGUGUGUGUGUGUGUGUGUGUGUGUGCAUGUGGUGUUGGGUAAGGAUCGAGCUGAGUGUGAUGUCUUUGGGACAAGGAGAAGUACAUGACUCCCAUCUAGAAGGUUCAAUAAAGGCAUAAUCUGAGAGGUUAUUUCAUGCCAGACUCUUGAGAAAGAUGACAGAGAGCCAAGCACGUAGCACACCACAGUAGCACACAGCAGGGAGCAUUCCCUGCCUUGACUAGCAGAAGAAAAAUGAGAUGUUGUUGCACAAGGUCCUUUUGGAGUGAGAGUUAGAACACUGGGGAGUACGGUUUGCACUCCCCAGGAAGCAGCCAGGAAAGACUCAGCCUUAGAAUUCGAGUGUGGUUCUCGGAGACAAUGUUAAGCACCGGGCCACUUACUUGCUUAUAUCCCAGCUGUGGGAUUGCCAGUGACCACCCAUUUUACAUGACUAGAUGGCGGUUGCCAUAAGAAGCUAACAAAUCCUGAUGCAAGGGGCAGCUAGCAUGCCACUCCAGUGUCUCCCUCCCUCCUUGUGGGUUAUCUUCCAUCCCAGAAUAAAUCCUGAAAAUUUCAGUCUCCCAAUCUCAGCUGAAGCAUCGCCGUGAUAUGCUUCUCUACAAUCAGCUAAGAUCUAAUAACAACGACUAUAAAAUAUCAAGUAUCCAUAAACUGCUUGCUACAAAAACCAUGAGGAACUUUGGAGAGAUGGCUUAGUGGUUAGGAGCCCUGGCUACUCUUGUUAGAGGACUGAGGUUCAAUUCUCAGCACCCACAUGAUGGCUCACACCAUCUGUAACUAGUUUCAGAGAAAUCGAAUGCCCUCUUCUGGAUGCUCUUGGUACCAGGUGUGUGAGUGGUACACAGGCAUACAGGUAGGCAAAAGACCCUACACAUAAACAAAAUAAAAUAAAAUAAUAAGAAACUAAGGAAUCAAGAAUGGGCAGGGUGAACGUGGGGAACAUGGGUAAUAAAAACAUUGAAUCUUGAUAGAAAUUCUGAAGUAACUUAAACAACAGAACCUGUGUUGAGCUGGAUUCUGAGUGAAGAUUGAUGGCUAGAGACAGGGGCAUUACUUGUGUCCCAGGUAGACAGAAAUUCAUGAAUCUGAAGCCUCCAGAUGUAAGAAGUAAACAGAGGGCUGGCUCUGGAAAGAGUCACGUUCUCCAUGACUUACUUGUGUGUGGGCCUUGGUGAUACAGGAUUGUUAGGAGAACAGCUCUUAGAAUGAUCGUAGAAUCAUUCACCUGAAGUUGACUACGCCAGUCCACUCACAGUGCGAGAAUGGCUGAUUGCAAGGCUGUGGGAAACUCUAAUUAUUAGGAGGCAAAUUGAUUUACUGUCCUCACAAAUGUGUCUCCUCCUUGUAACUUCUCAGGAUGAGAAAUGACUCUUUGAGAGGAAAAAAAAUAGAGCUUUCCUCAGCAUGCAAAGGGUGAACCAGGAGCGGAUUAGUGAAGGGCAACUACAUCAGAGAGAGCCCGGAGCCAAGGGCAGUCACGUUACCCAACACUGCCACCAGAGCGCUCGCUCUGGUUCUAAUGAUUUAUUCAGCAUUUGAAACAUCCAGCUCUCUUCAAAUAUUUAUAACACUUCCUGGUUGCUUUGAGGCUUUUAAUAGGGCAGAAUAAAUCUGUAAGUAUUGAAAAAUUGUCAGCAAAUGGGCCAUAGUGUGAAUAACCGAAACGCAAGCUGUAAGGCUGUAGCCAUUUGCUUUAUUUUGGCCAGAGAAAAAUGUUGCAAUAAUCUUUUCCCAGCAUCACUGCUUUGGAUGAGUUUGCCUCUGAGUUUCAUUAAUCAGGGGCUCUUUAAUUACGUGAUAAAACUCCAUUGACAGGAUGAUGCUCUGUCCACUCAGCAAAAUGUUAAGAGAGCUGAUAUUUGUCUUUCUCUGUGUGCUGUUCUCACUCAGCCCAAGGCCUUGAUGGUGCCCUAAAGUCAAGGAGGGUUUCCCCUCAUCAGUCCGACCUCUUUGGAAAGAUCCUUGCAGGUGUAUGUCUCCUAAGUCUACUUAAGUUGAUGAAGAUUGGAGAUUGUCCCUCCACUGUGUGUGCCCCUCUGUCUCUAAUUCAUGUGCUUCGCAGGAUGACUGACCAUGUGACCGUCUUCGGGUCAGUCGGAAUGCAGAAUGCCCAUAGUUACUGUUCUGUUUCUUCUAACAUUCACCUUUCUAUAACUUUCCCACAUGGCUAAGGCACUACUACUCAGCUUGGGGGAAAAUAUAAUCUCCUUCAAUCUUACCCCCAUCUUGUCUUUAAGUCAUUGACUUAGUUAUGUCUCUUUUCCCACCCCUACAGAACUUGAUGAAAGAGAUACCUUGUCUUAACUGUGGAUCUAUUUGCAUCCCUUUCUUUCUGUGUUUGUGGGUCUGUGUGUCUCUCUGUCUCUCCCUUCGUGUUCUCUCUCUCUCUCUCUCUCUCUCUCUCUCUCUCUCUCUCUCUCUCUCUCUCUGUGUGUGUGUGUGUGUUUUGUAUAUAUGGGGUUUAUUAGGAUGGCUUACAGACUAUGGCCCAGCUAGUCUAACAAUGGCUGUCUAGCAACAGAAGGUCCAAGAAUUAAGUAGCUGGUCAGUUCACGAGGCCGGGUGUCUCAGCUUGUCUUUAGUAUACACCAGAAUCUUGAAGAAGAAGUAGACUCUAAUGCCAGUGCAGGAAGAGACUUGCCAGUGACAGGGAGACAGAAGGCAGGCAGGAAGGUAUUGGGAGCACUUUCCCCCUUCUUAUACGUCCUUUAUAUAGGCUGCCAGCAGAGGAUGGCCUAGAUUAAAGGUGCAUCUUCCCAUCUCAAAAGAUCUGGAUUUUAAAUGUGAGUCUUCCUACCUCAAAUGGUUUCACGAAGAAAACUCCCUUACAGAUGUACCCAGAAGCUCGGGUUUUAGUUAAUUCUAGAUGUAGUGACCUCGACAACCAAGAACAUUCAUUACAACUAUAGAAUGUCUGUUUGCUCUGCUCUCUCUUGGUUCCCUAAAUGCUGGCACUCCACCUCACCUGCUGUGCGGAUUGUGCUUGCUCCCUCCUGAUCAGGAAUGACUGCGUACCUCUCUACUAAGGUCCAGAAUAUGUGUCUAGUACCCUUCUCUGCAAGUGAUUGUUUUAUUCUGUUGUAUUCCUUCCUAAUUAGUAAAUGUGUGUGGUGGUUUGAAUAUACUUGGCCCAUGGGAAGUGGUACUGUUAGGAGGCGUGGCCCUGUUGGAGGAAGCCUGUCACUGUGGGGUGGGCUUAGGAGGUCUCCUUUUUUGUUCAGGCUCCACCCAUUGUGAAAGGGAGCUAAACCUCUGAAAGUGUAAGCCAGCCCCAAUUAAAUAUUUGUCUGUAUAAGAUUUGCCUUGGUCAUCAUGUCUCUUCACAGCAAUAGGACCUCUAACUCAGACAAUGUGCAUAUGCUAUUUUAAUCAGUCAAAAUUCUGUUUCUUUACCCCAACACUCCAUGUGUCUCUGGACCCCACUGGACAGUAGGAGCUAUCAUGCAGUGUCUACCACAGCUGGUUGCUAUUCUGUGCUUGCUAGGAAGCAUUUUGCUUCGAUGCUUCUCACUAUGUCUCUGGAACAAACUCUUAUUGACUCUGUUGUGUAGAGAAAGGAGGAGAGCACCAGAGUGGAGAAGGUUCCAUAGGGUCCUCAGUCACAAAGACAGCCAAUAGUGGAGCCAUGAUGCAAUGUGGGAAACCUAGAGGCAGAGGGAGUCUAAGCUCUUAAUGAUUAGACUUGGUCUAUGAUCUAAAUAUUUGUCUUUCUACUCUGUUGUUGUUGUUGUUGUUCCAGGCAUUAGCAAAUGUUAAACACCUAGAGAUAUGUAAAAACUGAUCAAAUUUGAUUAAACCUAUACCAUAGGCAAUAGUACUUUAUAAAAUCAUUUUCCUGAUUUUGAUGAUAUAUUUCAGUUACAUACCUUAUUCUCAUUCAAAGAAGACAGAUGGGGGUGUAGGGGAAUCUUCAGAACUAUUGUUUCACAUCCUUAGUGUCUAUAACUCUUUCAAAAUUAAAAAUUAAAAAUACCAAAUUUGUUUUUUAUGGUUUCUCCACUGGGGUCUCCCUGCCUUUUAUGUGGAAUUCUUUAGCUUGUGGUAGUUAGGGAGACUUUUCUUCACUUCUGCCCCUCAUCUGCCUGGGGUUUCCCAUCCCUGUUACCCAGAAGAAUGAUGCCUGUAUUCAAAGCUUUGGCUCCAGGCUAGAUAGGGUGGAAUCCACAGUUUAUAAAGUAGCUUCAACUUUCAAUAUACCCUCAUUUUAAUAUUUCAGGUAUCAUCUAGCAAAGAACCAGGUCAAGAGAAAAAAACCAUCAAUAUGAGGUGUGGAGUAUUUUUUGUUUUUGUUUUUGUUUUGUUUUGUUUUUAACAUGAGGGACAGUAAUUCCUAGGCUGGUUGUAUCCAGAAGUCAUGUGCGUUGAGGUUUGGUCUGUUGUAUGUAUUAUAAUGCUAAACUCUAUUCCCAAACUCUAGGUUUCUCAUGUUUACAAGCUUUUGCUGUGCAAACCUUGUUCCUUGAUUUAAAACAAUUGGUUAAAUAAAGUGGGCUACAGUGAAACCACUGGAAGGAUUAGAGGUAGGUAGGCUUGGAGUGACUUGACUGGGUGAGAGAAAGGAGACAGGAGAGGAAGGAGGAAGAGGGAGAGAGGGAAAGAGGGAGAGGGGGGGGGAGGCCAUGAGGGGAGAUGGAUGAUGAGCCCAUGGCCGGAGAAACAGCAAUAUCUGGGGCACACCACUGGAGAAGUACCCAGGCUGCUGGGGAAGUAUCCAGGCCAACAGUUAGAAGAGUAGAUUAGGGGCCACUUCUUUGUAAUUGUCAAAGCCUAGUAAAAUGACCAUAGUCUGAGACUCAUUCCUUUGUAAACUAGUCUGGGAUAAGCUUAAAUUGGCUGUGCUAGACUUGGGUUUAUACAGGGUUGUUGCUAAAGCAAUCCAGACAGCUGUGUUUCAAUUACAACAAGAAUCUCUGCUCAGGGAUGCCCUCCUUGAAAGAGUUUCGCUCACAGCAGAGCCAUCACUGUGAAGACCAGGUGAGAUCCAGGGUGAGGCAGGGUUAGUUCUCACUGAAAUGACUCACACACUCAUUGAGACACUUUUGUCAAAACUAGGAUGAGUCCUUGAUGGGUAGGAGCAGGAUCCUGAGGUUUCAUGACAUCUGAUUAAAGUGCAAAGCAAUGAUUUCUUUAACAUGAUGUUGUAGGGUGCUUUUCCUGGGGAGACAAGCCGUAGGCAUCUGUUUAGCCCAGAUAAAGAGCCAACAAAUGUUAUAUUAUUAAGCAGCUAUAGAGAGAUAGAAGGCAGAAAGGAGGAGGCUUGAUCUGACCUUAGGUGGGACCAUGUUUAUUUGUGGUGAAGGACACUUUGUCACCCUUACAUGUGCAGACGGCCAAAAUGCCUGCAGAAGAAGAUGGGCGAUAGGCUUUUUCUCUCCUUCGGCGAGACCGAUAUAGGACAGAUUAAAAUAGAUAAAGGCAGGUUUAUUAGAUGGUGGUCCCAAAGAAUGGGGCUGAGGAAGUUAUGCAUGUACGCUAGGAAGGAAACAGUUUAUUGACUGUAGGCAAUGGGUGAUGAUGUGUCAGCCAUAAGUUAUGUUUGUACCAAGUACGGUUAAGAGCUGAGCACUUAGGCAGGGAUUUGGGUGCUGGCAGCAUCAGGAGAGGAGGUUCUGAUAGCUGCCAAGAAGGCAGAAUUGGGCUCUUGGAGUCAUUCCUUGUUAUGAGGUGGGUGUGGAGGAAGGAGGGUGGAUGGGGUUUUCCAGCUUAUGCAGCGGCAAGCAGGGGUUCCAGCCUAAUAGAAGGUGACCCCUUAUAGAAAUUGAAAUGACUGACUUCUGGAAGGGAAGGUGGGAAUCAUAAUAUUUCAGCAGGAAUGAUAAGAAAGGGAGUAAAUAACAAUUAUAAUGCAGUCCAAUUUGGCAAACCAUACAUUUAUUGGGGUUACAUGCAGGCACAUGGGUGACUCAAAAGGCAUUUGUACUUCUGAAAUGCAUGGAUAAUGACUCACAAAAGCUACAUCCCUGGAGCUCUGUGCACAGCUGACAGGUCAAAGACAGUUUCCUCUAACCAGCUUACCUAGCUAAGAGUCUCCCCCCUCAACAGGUGUUCACUGCCUCCUAAACCUAGGGAAGAGGCUCUGUAUAUUUUGUCAAUCUCAGGAACUUCCUGAAACUUGCCAGUUGUUUACUUCCUUCCUGGCCUUCCCAGAGGGAGUGUUUCAACUUAGAACUUCCUAAGUCUUAAGGAGGCUUCCUCCAGGAAACUGAUUUAACUUGAAUUGCUAUAGAAUACACAGAGAGUGUUGAGCUGAGACUUAGUAUUUAUACAAUCAUCAAGGGUGAAUAAUCUGAAGUCGGGAAGUGCCUGCAGCACGAGAGAUAUACUGUCUACACUGGUGACUCCUUCAGAAUGCAGUUAUAUCAUUAGAUCUUCUGAUAAUUCUAGUCAUUGCAUUGCUCUGAGUUCAUAGCUUGGUAAAGACGGCACAGCAGGGUACAGAGUCUUAUCUAAGCAGCUCGCAUCUGUUUCCCUAUUUGAUCAGCAAAGAACGCUAGGAACAGAGGUGACAUCAUCCCAUUGUUUCAGAUGAGGAAGUCGAGUCCCAGGGAGGAUGAUUUAACUGGUCAUGGAGCAGGACUGAAGCCAGGUAGUGAGGCUUCAGAGCUGAGUGCUAAGCUACUUUACUGGUCAAAUCCUUCAUCACAGCAACAUGCUGGACUGCAGUCCCAGUCUGUGGAUGACUCUACGGACUUACUUUGUACAUUCUAUGUUCCAUGUGCCACAAAAUGUCUGCCAGUUGUUGGCUCUGUAAGCAGUUGGUGUGCUGUGGAUGUGACUGACUGAAUCAUCUGUUGUCUGUGCCUUGGACUACUCACUGCCUGACCCUACCUACCCUUGAGGGUUGGAGGUGAGGUGGCGCAAAGACAACAGCACAGACUCUGGGAGCAGGUGAGAAACACCAUAAGCUCAUCUGAGCACUGCUGCAAGCUCCUUUAACACCCUCCAUCCAAACCCCAUUGAUCCCAAGAAAGCAUCUCUUCUAAAUAGCAGUUCCUGUGUGGCUGGCGUUGUCUGCAUCUCUCAGGCAGUCCUCAAUUAGGUCCUUCCACAGGAGAUAAUUUUGUGGCUGCAUAACCCCUUGCUCUGCAUUUACAUAGAGGCAGCCCUGCUGUUCCUGCUACAGUCAUCUUUGAAGGAAGACAUAAAUGCAAACACAUGGAAGGAAAUAAGGCAGAGGGAACCCUAAGAAGUUUCCACAGAAUAUGCAAAGAUUCCUUGUCAAGAGGAAGCAUGGCCAGCAAGAAGGAAGUCAGAGGAUUCAAGUGACCUUGGAAUCUCAAGGUCAAUGACACUUCUGUGCGGAAAGCACAGGUAGUUUGGAAUUCAUUGUAAUUGUUAAGUUUUUUUUUUUUAAAAAAUAUAUAUUUUAAGGAAUAAAUUCUGAAUUAUUGUGUGAUGCCCAAACUGAGUUCCACUAUCCCCAGUUUGCUCCACAUAGUCAGGGGAUUAUUUGCCUGACUUAACAUUUGAAUGUUAAAUCCUGCCUUGUAUACUUUACAAAUUUUUCAAAAGAUUCAGGUAUUUUAGAAAUGAUAUUGACCCUCCCUACAGUACCUUGCCCUGAGGUACGCCAGUCAAACAUUAUCAAAAAAUAGUGAGGUAUCCAAAGGGAAGAUUGGGAACGGAAAAGCAAUUGCAGCCAGUUCUUUUCUCAAAAGUGAGUGGUGCUGAGACCCCCUCUAAAGAAUGGAGAAGCACUUUUAUACUCUGAGUUACCGCUGCUCUGAGACGCCCCUGGAAUUCCUCAGGAGGGGAAGCCGGCUUGUUCUUUCUCUAGCUGUUAAAAUAGGUCAGGGCGCGUGAUUAUUUGAGCAUCUCUAUUUCUCUUAUUCUAUUCUACACUUUCCCAGUGUGCUUGCGUCUCUCCUGGGGGACCACAGGGAAAACAAAAAUGUCUACUGAGCAGUUUUUCCUCAGAAAUAAUAUCACAAAUAUAAAAUGUAUCCUGCCAUGAACUCACCAGCAGGGGAGGCAAGUUGGAGAGGCAACAUUCCAUCAGAACUCCUCAGGAACCACCAAGGAUAAUAGUCUCAGGAGGGAAGCCAGGAAGUGGCCUUGGAGGGAUGUGAAUUAAUGAGGAAGAGGCAUUGCACAGAACCGCCACACCCCACGCCCCUGCACACCAUGCACACUGCCUUUUACUUCUGCAGAUGGCUUCCGUCCCCAGGUGGAGUUUUUAGGUGUGAUGGCAGGCCCAUGGGAUGCAGGUGUCUGAUGGGGACAGUUAAGAUGUCUAGUAUAAAAGAUUGGGACACCAUUGAGAUUGCGGAUAUAUGGCUUCUAUGGGCAGCUUUCAUGUGACAUAUUCUCCUGAUAGUGGCGAGAGACAGAGAUAGAGAGGUGUGUGUGUGUGUGUGUGUGUGUGUGUGUGUGUGUGUGUGUGUGUGUGAGAAUGGGUUGUGUGUGCAGAACUGUUUGUCCAUAUGUGUGUAUGCUACAGAGCUCUGUGUGUGCUUGCAUAUAUUUUCAUGUGUGUGUGUGUGUGUGUAUGUGUAUUUGUCUGUGUGUUCACACAUACAUGCUGCAGAGCUGCCUGUGCAUGUGUACAAGCAUGCAUGCAUCUGUGCAUGUGCGUGUGCGUGCGUGUGUGUG